UACGUAGGUGGCAAGCGUUGUCCGGAAUUAUUGGGCGUAAAGCGCGCGCAGGCGGCCUCUUAAGUCUGAUGUGAAAGCCCCCCGGCUCAACCGGGGAGGGCCAUUGGAAACUGGGAGGCUUGAGUAUAGGAGAGAAGAGUGGAAUUCCACGUGUAGCGGUGAAAUGCGUAGAGAUGUGGAGGAACACCAGUGGCGAAGGCGACUCUCUGGUCUGUAACUGACGCUGAGGCGCGAAAGCGUGGGGAGCAAACAGG
rnacentral:rRNA from 1 species